rnacentral:piRNA from 1 species
UGUGGUGCUCUUCAGAAUUGUGAGAGU